rnacentral:rRNA from 1 species
GACGAACCGUGCGAACGUUGUUCGGAAUCACUGGGCUUAAAGGGCGCGUAGGCGGUGCCACAAGUCACUUGUGAAAUCCCCAGGCUUAACCUGGGGCCUGCAGGCGAAACUGUGGUGCUGGAGUGUGGGAGAGGUGCGUGGAAUUCCCGGUGUAGCGAUGAAAUGCGUAGAUAUCGGGAGGAACACCUGUGGCGAAAGCGGCGCACUGGACCAUAACUGACGCUGAGGCGCGAAAGCUAGGGGAGCAAACAGG